GAUAUAGGACUCAUCAGAAGCUUCUGAAGCCGUGACAUCAUUUUCUGGAAUUUCCCAAGCUGUUUCCCAAACUAAGAAAUUAGUGGAGUGGUUGAUAAAUGAGUUUUAAUGACUCCAACCCAAGUGUAUGUAAACUUCCAACUUCAACUGUAGUUUAUGGACACCUAGAUUAUGAACCAACAAAAUGUCAAUAAAGAGUCUUGUCUCUGUAAAUUGGGUUCAUCUCAUCACAAAACUGUCCAAACCUAGAUGGUGGCACUUCUCUGAUUAGUUUAACAGGUUGUGUGACAUAGAAUUUGUAUGAGAUUAAACGCAUAUAGUAUGUAUAUAUAUACAUAUAGUAUGUCAAACUGGGUGACUUUCUCUGGGUCACAGCUGUUGUAUUUCACAUGAUGAUUUCUAAUGUACGCAGGUCAGGAAACACAGCGAAUGGCAAUGCCCCGAAACAACCAACUACACAACCUCCAGCAACACAGGCCCAACCCCCUCAGCCAAUGCCUACAUAUCCACCAUCCUCUACCUCAGGACCCAGGUAUGGAGAAAACAACAAUUGGAACCAACCUCCUGCCUCCCAGCCACCUCUCCCCCAGCAAGGCCCAGGUGUUCCCAAACCCAUCCCUCCUAAGCAUUAACCCUGACAGGAACACCCCUUCGAACAUAAUGGGGGGGCUCUUCCCUUAUUCGUUAUUGUAAAUUUCAUAUUUUGUAUUUUACUCACAUUUUGUAUGUUUGUUUGUGGAUAUCUAAAAAUAAUAAUAAUAAUUUUAAAAAACAUUUUAUUGCAGGAACAUGAUUUGGUGACAGAGACUUUUUAAGAUAUUGCCUUUUACAUAAUUACUAUGCAAAUGAAGGUAACAUAUUUUGUAAUAAAAAUAUACAUAUUGUUGAUAUUGUUCCGUUCCAGAAAGGCUCCAUUUAUUUUUAUGAGCAGGUUUACAAGAUUUAAAACAUAUAUUUUAAUGCUACUCAUAAUAAACAUGUAAUAUAAUAUUUCCUGCCUUAUUGUCCAUUGUUUU
rnacentral:lncRNA from 1 species